UUUAAAAUGUACGCUCAACCAAAAAUUGAAGUCCAGCAUUGGUUUAAAGAGUUGUCAAUGCCUUUUCAGCAGAGCGUGCUCCACUUGUGGCAUUCAUACAAAGACAUUUAAAGCAAUUACGCCCCGGGGUAUUAUUCAACUGCAACUUGCUGACAGACACACAUUUCGCUAUGGCUUCGGCAAAAAGCAAAAGUGAAGCGAAUUUCAGUUGCAGGCUGGCUGUCAGGCAGGGAGGAUGGCGAGGAACUGGAGCUGAAUCUCACUGCGACUGAGUCAGCAGAAUAAGCACGAGGCAUGCCGCAGAAGCACCAAACUGUUCGAUUUUAUUGACUGUCGCGUUACGCUCCUGACACUCCUUGAAGCCCUGUGUACUGGGCCCUGUCAUUGUGUGAAAAUGUUAUUUGCUAACUGAGAGUCAUCAGCGGCGAGGCAGCUGAGUAGAACUCAUCUACAACGGCAACUGUAUGAAGGUGGCGGUCGCAUAAUAAUAAAAAUUAUUGUUACUAGCGGCAAAAUCCACACCCAGCGGCAAUUGAAAUGCGCAGCCAAGCGGAACUUGCUCAAGUGAAUGCAAUGAAAAUAUCUAAAGCCAAGCAAAAUGCUUGUGGCUCUACGCCGUAAUCAAGAUUUUGCUGCCACACUGCAAAAGCUGUCGCCAAGGAUAUCGAGCAGCGUCGGAAGCGGUGGGGUAAAUUGGCAACGCUCUGCAACACAUUGGCUCUGAAUUGUGCGGGGCGUGCGAUGCAAGUGAGUUUUAUUUAUAUGGCAUAUCGAUUUGUUGCACAUAAAUGUAUGAACAUCAAUCGAGCUUUUCAAUACUGAUGUGCAUUAUUUUCACUGUUUUUUCCAAA